rnacentral:rRNA from 1 species
CGCGUAGGCGGCUUUGUAAGUCACUUGUGAAAUCUCCGGGCUUAACUCGGAACGGCCAAGUGAUACUGCAAUGCUAGAGUGCAGGAGGGGCAAUCGGAAUUCUUGGUGUAGCGGUGAAAUGCGUAGAUAUCAAGAGGAACACCUGAGGUGAAGACGGGUUGCUGGGCUGACACUGACGCUGAUGCGCGAAAGCCAGGGAGCAAACG